rnacentral:tRNA from 1 species
CCCUUCGUGUUGUAAUGGUCAACACACUCGGCGCAUAUUCGAGAGGUCCGAGGUUCGAGUCCCGGCGAGGGCA